rnacentral:lncRNA from 1 species
UGUGGGGUGUGGGGUGGGGGAGUAUGAGAGGUACUGACAAAACAAAGGCCUCAGUAGUAACUAGUUUGAGCUCAAGAAAGAGAAAGACAUACCAAAUUGAUGCAGCUCCAAAUAUCUACUGCAACAUGAAUAGUACAUAAAGUACAACCUUAAAAGAACAUUCACAAUGAAGUAGAGUUUUUCCGGAAAAAAAAUCUUGAAGUGUACCUUUCCACUUCGAAGGCAUGAAUUUACAUAAACUAAGAAAACAACACCACGACAAUAAGGUGACUGCACAAAAUAUAGAGACUAAACUGGAGUGGAUGCAGCUGUUGACCAUUUCAAUUUUCGUCUCCACCUCCUGAAUUUGUUUAAGGAAAAUUAGAGUCAUCAUCACACAAGGGAGAACUGAAUCCAAUGUGCAGGAAAUUCGUUGUAAAGUUCGAGAAGUCCUCCUACCUUGAAUGUUUUCAUGGAGCAGCCGAAAGAAUCAGAGUACGGGAAUUUUCUUUCAGUGUCUGGCUGCAAUUUCUGUAGGAGUCUUGACAAUAUCGAAUGGUGA